UAGCGCCAAAGGAUGAGCCUGCACUUGAUUAGCUAGUUGGUAAGGUAAUGGCUUACCAAGGCUACGAUCAAUAGCUGAUCUGAGAGGAUGAUCAGCCACAUUGGGACUGAGAUACGGCCCAGACUCCUACGGGAGGCAGCAGUGGGGAAUAUUGGACAAUGGGGGCAACCCUGAUCCAGCAAUACCGCGUGUGUGAAGAAGGCCUGAGGGUUGUAAAGCACUUUCAAUUGUGAAGAAAAGUUAACGGUUAAUAACCGUUAGCCUUGACGUUAACUUUAGAAGAAGCACCGGCUAACUCCGUGCCAGCAGCCGCGGUAAUACGGAGGGUGCAAGCGUUAAUCGGAAUUACUGGGCGUAAAGCGUGCGUAGGCGGUUUAUUAAGUCAGAUGUGAAAGCCCCGGGCUUAACCUGGGAACUGCAUUUGAAACUGGUCAACUAGAGUAUGGUAGAGGAAAGUGGAAUUUCUGGUGUAGCGGUGAAAUGCGUAGAUAUCAGAAGGAACAUCAAUGGCGAAGGCAGCUUUCUGGACCAAUACUGACGCUGAGGUACGAAAGCGUGGGUAGCAAACAGGAUUAGAUACCCUGGUAGUCCACGCCGUAAACGAUGAUAACUAGCCGUUGGGGGGAUUUACCCUUUAGUGGCGAAGCUAACGCGUUAAGUUAUCCGCCUGGGGAGUACGGCCGCAAGGUUAAAACUCAAAGGAAUUGACGGGGACCCGCACAAGCGGUGGAGCAUGUGGUUUAAUUCGAUGCAACGCGAAGAACCUUACCUGGUCUUGACAUCCUGCGAACUUUCUAGAAAUAGAUUGGUGCCUUCGGGAACGCAGUGACAGGUGCUGCAUGGCUGUCGUCAGCUCGUGUCGUGAGAUGUUGGGUUAAGUCCCGUAACGAGCGCAACCCCUAUCCUUAUUUGCCAGCACGUCAUGGUGGGAACUAUAAGGAGACUGCCGGUGAUAAACCGGAGGAAGGCGGGGACGACGUCAAGUCAUCAUGGCCCUUACGACCAGGGCUACACACGUGCUACAAUGGGAAGGACAAAGAGCCGCGAAGCCGCGAGGUGUAGCUAAUCUCAGAAACCUUUUCGUAGUCCGGAUUGGAGUCUGCAACUCGACUCCAUGAAGUCGGAAUCGCUAGUAAUCGUAGAUCAGAAUGCUACGGUGAAUACGUUCCCGGGUCUUGUACACACCGCCCGUCAUACCAUGGGAGUGGGUUGCACCAGAAGUGGCUAGUCUAACUUAGUGAGGACGGUCACCACGGUGUGAUUCAUGACUGGGGUAAAGUCGUAACAAGGUAACC
rnacentral:rRNA from 1 species